rnacentral:rRNA from 1 species
UUGAUCCUGGCUCAGAAUCAACGCUGGCGGCAUGCCUAACACAUGCAAGUCGAGCGAGAAAGGGUAGCAAUACCUGAGUAAAGCGGCGCACGGGUGAGUUACACGUGGAUAACCUGCCUCAAAGUGGGGAAUAACACCGGGAAACCGGUUCUAAUACCGCAUAUUCUGAUGAGAUCUGUGGAUUUUGUCAGUAAAGGAGUAAUUCGCUAUGAGAGGGGUCCGCGGCUGAUUAGCUAGUUGGUGAGGUAAUGGCUCACCAAGGCAACGAUCAGUAGCCGGUCUGAGAGGACGGUCGGCCAUACUGGAACUGAGACACGGUCCAGACUCCUACGGGAGGCAGCAGUGGGGAUUUUUUCGCAAUGGGGGAAACCCUGACGAAGCAAUGCCGCGUGGAUGAUGUAGUAUUUCGGUACGUAAAAUCCUUUCGACAGGGACGAAACCGCAAGGUUUACGGUACCUGUAGAAGAAGCCCCGGCUAACUCCGUGCCAGCAGCCGCGGUAAUAAGGU